rnacentral:rRNA from 1 species
AGUGAACGCUGGCGGUAGGCCUAACACAUGCCAGUCGAACGGCAGCACAGUAAGAGCUUGCUCUUACGGGUGGCGAGUGGCGGACGGGUGAGGAAUACAUCGGAAUCUACUUUUUCGUGGGGGAUAACGUAGGGAAACUUACGCUAAUACCGCAUACGACCUACGGGUGAAAGCAGGGGAUCUUCGGACCUUGCGCGAUUGAAUGAGCCGAUGUCGGAUUAGUUAGUUGGCGGGGUAAAGGCCCACCAAGGCGACGGUCCGUAGCUGGUCUGAGAGGAUGGUCGGCCACACUGGAAUUGAGACACGGUCCAGACUCCUACGGGAGGCAGCAGUGGGGAAUAUUGUACAUUGGGCGCAAGCCUGAUCCAGCCAUACCGCGUGGGUGAAGAAGGCCUUCGGGUUGUAAAGCCCUUUUGUUGGGAAAGAAAAGCAGCAGGUUAAUACCCCGCUGUUCCGACGGUACCCAAAGAAUAAGCACCGGCUAACUUCGUG